GAUCAUGGCUCAGGACGAACGUUGGCGGCGUGCUUAACACAUGCAAGUCGAACGGAAAGAGAUGAAAGAGCUUGCUCUUUUAUUAAUUUCAGUGGCAAACGGGUGAGUAACACGUAAACAACCUGCCUUAAGGAUGGGGAUAACAGACGGAAACGACUGCUAAUACCGAAUACGUUCUAAGCAAAUCGCAUGGUGCAUAGAAGAAAGGGUGGCCUCUACAAGAAAGCUAUCGCCUUAAGAGUGGUUUGCG
rnacentral:rRNA from 1 species